GAUGAACGCUAGCGGGAGGCCUAACACAUGCAAGCCGAGCGGUAGAGUUCCUUCGGGAACUUGAGAGCGGCGUACGGGUGCGUAACACGUGUGCAACCUACCUUUAUCUGGGGGAUAGCCUUUCGAAAGGAAGAUUAAUACCCCAUAAUAAAUUGAAUGGCAUCAUUUAAUAUUGAAAACUCUGGUGGAUAGAGAUGGGCACGCGCAAGAUUAGAUAGUUGGUGAGGUAACGGCUCACCAAGUCUGUGAUCUUUAGGGGUCCUGAGAGGGAGAUCCCCCACACUGGUACUGAGACGCGGACCAGACUCCUACGGGAGGCAGCAGUGAGGAAUAUUGGACAAUGGGUGAGAGCCUGAUCCAGCCAUCCCGCGUGAAGGAUGACGGUCCUAUGGAUUGUAAACUUCUUUUGUACAGGAAUAAACCUAUUUACGUGUAAAUAGCUGAAGGUACUGUACGAAUAAGCACCGGCUAACUCCGUGCCAGCCGCCGCGGUAA
rnacentral:rRNA from 1 species